CCAAUUAAUUUAACUUGGGAGUCAGAACAUGGGUGAUAAGGUCCGUGUUCGAAAGGGAAACAGCCCAGACCACCAGCUAAGGUCCCAAAAUAUAUGUUAAGUGGAAAAGGAUGUGGCGUUGCCCAGACAACUAGGAUGUUGGCUUAGAAGCAGCCAUCAUUUAAAGAGUGCGUAAUAGCUCACUAGUCGAGUGACACUGCGCCGAAAAUGUACCGGGGCUAAACAUAUUACCGAAGCUGUGGAUUGUCCUUUGGACAAUGGUAGGAGAGCGUUCUAAGGGCGUUGAAGCAUGAUCGUAAGGACAUGUGGAGCGCUUAGAAGUGAGAAUGCCGGUGUGAGUAGCGAAAGACGGGUGAGAAUCCCGUCCACCGAUUGACUAAGGUUUCCAGAGGAAGGCUCGUCCGCUCUGGGUUAGUCGGGUCCUAAGCUGAGGCCGACAGGCGUAGGCGAUGGAUAACAGGUUGAUAUUCCUGUACCACCUAUAAUCGUUUUAAUCGAUGGGGGGACGCAGUAGGAUAGGCGAAGCGUGCGAUUGGAUUGCACGUCUAAGCAGUAAGGCUGAGUAUUAGGCAAAUCCGGUACUCGUUAAGGCUGAGCUGUGAUGGGGAGAAGACAUUGUGUCUUCGAGUCGUUGAUUUCACACUGCCGAGAAAAGCCUCUAGAUAGAAAAUAGGUGCCCGUACCGCAAACCGACACAGGUAGUCAAGAUGAGAAUUCUAAGGUGAGCGAGCGAACUCUCGUUAAGGAACUCGGCAAAAUGACCCCGUAACUUCGGGAGAAGGGGUGCUCUUUAGGGUUAACGCCCAGAAGAGCCGCAGUGAAUAGGCCCAAGCGACUGUUUAUCAAAAACACAGGUCUCUGCUAAACCGUAAGGUGAUGUAUAGGGGCUGACGCCUGCCCGGUGCUGGAAGGUUAAGAGGAGUGGUUAGCUUCUGCGAAGCUACGAAUCGAAGCCCCAGUAAACGGCGGCCGUAACUAUAACGGUCCUAAGGUAGCGAAAUUCCUUGUCGGGUAAGUUCCGACCCGCACGAAAGGCGUAACGAUUUGGGCACUGUCUCAACGAGAGACUCGGUGAAAUCAUAGUACCUGUGAAGAUGCAGGUUACCCGCGACAGGACGGAAAGACCCCGUGGAGCUUUACUGUAGCCUGAUAUUGAAAUUCGGCACAGCUUGUACAGGAUAGGUAGGAGCCUUUGAAACGUGAGCGCUAGCUUACGUGGAGGCGCUGGUGGGAUACUACCCUAGCUGUGUUGGCUUUCUAACCCGCACCACUUAUCGUGGUGGGAGACAGUGUCAGGCGGGCAGUUUGACUGGGGCGGUCGCCUCCUAAAAGGUAACGGAGGCGCUCAAAGGUUCCCUCAGAAUGGUUGGAAAUCAUUCAUAGAGUGUAAAGGCAUAAGGGAGCUUGACUGCGAGACCUACAAGUCGAGCAGGGUCGAAAGACGGACUUAGUGAUCCGGUGGUUCCGCAUGGAAGGGCCAUCGCUCAACGGAUAAAAGCUACCCCGGGGAUAACAGGCUUAUCUCCCCCAAGAGUUCACAUCGACGGGGAGGUUUGGCACCUCGAUGUCGGCUCAUCGCAUCCUGGGGCUGUAGUCGGUCCCAAGGGUUGGGCUGUUCGCCCAUUAAAGCGGUACGCGAGCUGGGUUCAGAACGUCGUGAGACAGUUCGGUCCCUAUCCGUCGUGGGCGUAGGAAAUUUGAGAGGAGCUGUCCUUAGUACGAGAGGACCGGGAUGGACAUACCUCUGGUGUACCAGUUGUCGUGCCAACGGCAUAGCUGGGUAGCUAUGUGUGGACGGGAUAAGUGCUGAAAGCAUCUAAGCAUGAAGCCCCCCUCAAGAUGAGAUUUCCCAACUUCGGUUAUAAGAUCCCUCAAAGAUGAUGAGGUUAAUAGGUUCGAGGUGGAAGCAUGGUGACAUGUGGAGCUGACGAAUACUAA
rnacentral:rRNA from 1 species